UACGAAGGGUGCAAGCGUUAAUCGGAAUUACUGGGCGUAAAGCGUGCGUAGGCGGUUGGCUAAGUCGGAUGUGAAAGCCCUGGGCUCAACCUAGGAAUUGCAUUCGAUACUGGCGAGCUAGAGUACGGUAGAGGGCGGCGGAAUUCCGGGUGUAGCGGUGAAAUGCGUAGAUAUCCGGAGGAACACCGAUGGCGAAGGCAACCGCCUGGGCCUGUACUGACGCUGAGACACGAAAGCGUGGGGAGCAAACAGG
rnacentral:rRNA from 1 species